UACGGAGGAUCCGAGCGUUAUCCGGAUUUAUUGGGUUUAAAGGGUGCGCAGGCGGGAUGUUAAGUCGGCGGUGAAAUUUUGCAGCUCAACUGUAAAAGUGCCUUCGAUACUGGCUUCCUUGAGUGUGGAUGAAGUAGGCGGAAUUUGUGGUGUAGCGGUGAAAUGCUUAGAUAUCACGAGGAACUCCGAUUGCGCAGGCAGCUUACUAAACUACUACUGACGCUCAGGCACGAAGGCGUGGGGAUCAAACAGGAUUAGAUACCCCUGUA
rnacentral:rRNA from 1 species